CAGCCGCCACGGGAAUACGAAGGGUGCAAGCGUUACUCGGAAUUACUGGGCGUAAAGCGUGCGUAGGUGGUGGUUUAAGUCCGUUGUGAAAGCCCUGGGCUCAACCUGGGAAUUGCAGUGGAUACUGGGUCACUAGAGUGUGGUAGAGGAUAGUGGAAUUUCCGGUGUAGCAGUGAAAUGCGUAGAGAUCGGAAGGAACAUCUGUGGCGAAGGCGACUAUCUGGGCCAACACUGACACUGAGGCACGAAAGCGUGGGGAGCAAACAGGAUUAGAUACCCCCGUUCCCUGUCUCUUAUACAC
rnacentral:rRNA from 1 species